UGGAAAACCCCAGUGAAGGAGGAUGGUCCUGUUUGCAGCCUCUCAGGUCCACCGUUGUAGAUGGCCCUAGAGGGGACCACCACAGAAGGGGGAUGAUGCCAAAGCUACACAUGAAGUCCUGCUCCAAUGCCCAUUCUCUGUAUGAUCUUUAG
rnacentral:lncRNA from 12 species